GCCUCCUCCCUUUUCUAAACAGAGAGGAAAACAAGUCCACUCUGUCAUUAGCUUGCAAGCAGUACAAGUCGAAUUAAAAUUCAAGACAUGAAAAUCUUUAACUCAGAGGUCCAACUACAUUCACUAUUCCUCAAGUUUCCAUCUCAAAGAAGAGCUUCCCAGCAUUAUAUUCAUUGUUAUAUCAGCACACUUGAACAUCUACUGCAUCCAAGGGGCAAUUAUUUGUGGACUACCAAGAAAUGUACCAUGGGCAGAAAAUAUAUAACAGAAUUGCCUUUUUGAAAGAGAUUAUGUCCUAACUUUUACUGAGAGGUGGUCAAAGUGCCCUUGAAAACUGCAUCUGUAGUGCUCUUGAAUGGAUAACAGAAGACUGGCACAUUGGAUCCAAAACAGAUCUUCACCACAUUAGCCUGCUCAGAGUGGAGUCUUAAAGAAGAAAAUGUGGCACAAUAACAUGCAUAGCAUCCUGGAGAAACUGUGGACAUUUGGGCAGGGUAAGUGACAGGCCUAGGGGAAAACCCUGUCUGGUCAGUCAACACAAAGCAAACUUUUUUCUUAGUUUCCAGUAACUUAAAAACAUUUU
rnacentral:lncRNA from 1 species